CAGUAAAACUUUUUAGAAUUGUAAGCAUUGAUUACCUGUCAGCUUCUUCAAUUUAGUUUUCCACAAGGUAUAUACUUUUUAACAUUUACUGUGGAAAAAAUUGCAGCAAUAUUGCUUAUAUUUCAUCUUGUCAGAUGAGAAGAGAUGAAAAGUGCAUAACAUUUUGCAUUAACAAUCAAAAGAUAGGUUUAGUCUAUUUCCUGGCCUUUUUCUGCGAGCAACAGUUACUUGCUUAUGAUGGAGUAUAAGGGCCGGGCUCUGAGUUUCUGAUUUAUGUUUUAAAUAUGAGUAAAGUUGGACGAGAAUAAAGUCGUAAUUUUAUUACUUUUCACCAUACUGCGCUAAAUUGCGGAAUACUGAUCUUGUAAGGUUAUAUAGUUGGUAUUGGUUUAACAAAUGACUAAGUACUAAAUGUUUUAGCACAUCAGAAGCUAAUUUUCAGUCCCGGGACUUUGAAACGAUUGUUUAAACAACUUUUUGUUUAAUAGAAAGAACCAGACUUGCUGAGCAGGUCACGCUGCAUAUCACUCUAUCAAAGCUUUUUAAUUUAACGACUUUCUUCCGGCAAUAUUGCGUCUUUACUCUGCCAAUAUUUAAACUAUUCUGCUAAUACGACUUGGUUCUCGUAGUUUUAUGACUGUAUUCUUCUAUUUGAAAAUAAAAAUCUCUUAGCUUGGCCGUAAUACUCUGUCAUACUUGCUUUACUGACCUCUGCUGCCGUUUUUUUUUUUUCACUGUCAAACCUCUCCAUCUUUCCUCUAUGUCGGUAUUUCAAAACAUCUGCGCUUGUAUCCUACGCUCUGUUUUUUGUUUGUUUUGUUUUUUUUCAGCCUGUUGAUUAGUUUGAACACUGCUGUCACCUAGUGACCGGAGGCUUGUUCAUCAGUUAAGCAUGAAUAAAAACAAUUAUAAAGUCCUGCUUCUCGCGCCCCCCCUGACACUUCUCCACGCCCCCCAAGGGGGCGCGCCUCACUAGUUGAGAAGUACUGCCCUAAAUACACCAUCCCCACUGUGGUGGCAGCAUCAUGCUGUGGGGAUGCUUCUUCGCAGGCACAGAGAAGUGGGUCUGAGUUGAGAAAAAGACAGAUGGCGCUAAACACAGAAAUACAAAUAUUUUUUAGAGCCUGCAAAGGUUUCCCAUCCAACUGGACAUUGACCUCAAACAUAAAGUGGAAUAAUUUAGAUUUAAGCACAUCUGUAUUAAAUUGGCCCAGUCAAAGCACACCCUGUUUGGCUCCCAAAUUAUACUGAACUGUCUAGCUUAGACAGCUCUUGAAAAUUGCUGUUUAUAAUAAUCCUUUUCUAUAGCUGAGCAACAGCUGUAGAAAAAAAGUUCGAGAGGUAUUAAUAUUUUUGCAUGUCACUGUUAUUGAUAUCAACUUCUGCAGAGCUGCACAAUUAAUCAAACUGAAAUCAUCAUUGCCAUUUCAAUGGGAUAAGUUUCACAUUCACAAAGAACUGUUUGGAUGCAAUAUUUACAGGACCAUAAUAUUUUAAAAAGUCAUGCUUUAAAACUUUGCAGGCAAGUUGACCAACUGGGUGACGUUUCAGUUUUUGUUGCUUAACUGAUAUAGAUCUUAUUGUUUAAGAUGCUGGUUGGAGGAUUGUGAUGAUGUGGGAAGAUUGUUGUGAUUGUGAUGAUGGAGGAAAAUUUUGAUUUACGUCAGUCCUUAUACGAUAAUUUCAAUGUUCACCAAUAUUAUACAGAUUUUUCUAAACAUUGUGCAAUCCUUUCUUUCGGGCUCAUUUGUCUCACUUUUAAGUGUAUUUAAACGUGUUCAACAAUAACUUUAAGUAAUAAAACAAUACAAAUCAAACAAUAAAAACGGUAUCCAAGCUACAACUUUCAACCAACACCCCAAACACGGCAGCGAAUCCAUCUGUAUUUCUGUCCCAUGCACAUUUAUUCCUGCGCUCUUCCUGUCCGCUGUUGACUCAAACAGACUCUCCUCAUUUAUUAGCAGCAGUGCGCCAAUUAAUUCCCAGCCCCCUUUCCUGUGUUCCAGCAGCAGCCUGGGCCGUACACAGAACAACUGGAGAGGAGAGGCACGAGAGGGAAAGGGAGGGUGCCUUCUCUGACGUCAUGAGUGAAGAGAGGUAGGAAUUCCCUUCAUAUGAACCGCCCACUCGGUUACUCUGCACACCCUGUCUGGCUCCCAGACACACUCGCAUUCACACACGCUCCUGUCUGCGCAACCAGAGGAGGAACGGGUCGACAAGAAGACAAAAAGAGUGACAGGCGCGAGACUUGUGAAGUUCGACUUUACAGGGUGACGUUGGAGACAAAUGAACUUGGGGGCAGAGAGCAGGAAUAAAAAACUGUUAUUUCAGGAGAAACGAAAGUCAGGGCGGUGCGCCACCAGUGGUCUUCCUGUGUGAAACACAUAGUGAGAACGGAACAUGUAAAGUGUUUCCAGUCAGAGUAAAGAUCCGAUACUUCCCGAGAUCCUGAGUGGUGCAAAGCCUCUUAUCUUGAUUUCUAUUUUAUAGGAAAUAACCAAGAUAUCCAAUGCAAUCAUCACAACCAAUUAAGGACUCUUAAAAUAGUGACCCAGUAAACCGAUAUGCAGGGGGUUUUUUUAUUUUAAAAUUGUCCUAAAGUGUUAGAUGUUUGCUUUUGGUCUUAGAACCUCUCGGAUUAUCUAGAUUAAUAUGAAAUAAAGAAAGCAAGAGAAUACCACGGUUAAGAUGAUAACAGCUUAUAAUGUUCCAACUACCAGCUCAGUCAAAACCCUUUGACCUAUUUUGUUUUCACUCUAUUUCUGUAAAAAAUUCAAAACUAUUUGACUUUAAAUAUAAGAAAAUGCUUAAAAUUUGAUUAAUGUUUCUAAGCUAAAUUUAAACCAUGACAAAGAAAGAUUGCAUCAAUACAACCAUAUUUUCAUCUUUUAUAAAAACUCUGUAUAUAAACAUAUUUACAAGGAAGACAAAAACAUGUAUUUUUUAUUUUGCCUUUUAUAUAUUUAUAUUUUAAAUGUCUUCACUGAGAGUAUAGCGGGAAAAAUGACAAGUUCCUUUUGUGUGUGUGUGUGUGUGUGCGGGGGUGGGCAUGUGUGUGUGUAUGGGGGGCUGGGGGCGUGGGUGUGUGCACAAACUUGGCGAAUAAAGCUGAUUCUAAAUCUGAUUUCUUUAAAAAUAUUAUGACAUCAAAGAAAUGGUUUUCUCAGAUUGACUAUAACUUUCCGAACUCAGUCUCACACCUCGUUAUUUCAAAAUCAACCCCAUGUGUUCAGGGCUGACAGUUAGUGUUUGAUGGAGUGCAUGUGUUCACAGAUGACUCACUGUACAGUAUUGUCAGAAGAUGACAUAUCAUAAAGGAGAGGGAAAGUCAGUGAAGAAAAAGAGUUUACAAUCUAUAAAUUUCCAGUAAAAAGCUGUAAUCUGUUGAAUUUGCUGAAACUGAGCAGCAUCGGAGUGUCUGUGUCUACUAAAUGUCAGUUGUCUCAUUAAGAGUAAAUCUGUUGCCGCCCCUGUAGGGAGAGCUGAGUGUCACCUUAUGUCAUAAUUUCUAUCGCUGGGCUGACUGAGUCACUUUGGGCAAGUGUGUGUUUCUUUGACUCUGUUUGUGUUCACAUUUUCCCUAUGCUUCCACCUGUUAGGUUUUUUUUUCUUUUUUUUUUCAAAAGAGCAUCACUGCCUGUUGGUCUGAUGCUGUGGGAUUGUGUCUGUCUCUGUGUGUGAAAAAUUACCUCCGUCGUCGCUUCUCCUCACCACCCGCUGGGUCGGUCUCCUGUGCCUGCUGUGCUGAUAAUCAGUGUGUGACGUCGGCUGGCUCAGUUCAGCAGGAACAGGGGACUGUUCUCAUUUCCACACACACUUAAACAUAAACAGAAUCACACAUAAGCAUUAUCUUCUCUUAUUAUGUGGAAACACAUUUCUGUUGCUGUGAUUUAGUCUUUAAAUUUUAUUUAAUGACUGCUAACUGUUUUACAUAAAUCUGUAUCUAUUUUGUGUGUUACUGGUGUAAUGACUGUAAAUAAAUGAUCAGAAGUGCAAAAUGUUUAAUAAUGUUUUUUGUUUUCUGUAUUGAAUAAAUGUUCCUUCAUAAAUAUUAAAGUUGAUUAAAACUACAUUUACUUGA